CACGUAGGGCGCAAGCGUUAAUCGGAAUUACUGGGCGUAAAGCGUGCGCAGGCGGUGAUGUAAGACAGAUGUGAAAUCCCCGGGCUCAACCUGGGAACUGCAUUUGUGACUGCAUCGCUGGAGUGCGGCAGAGGGGGAUGGAAUUCCGCGUGUAGCAGUGAAAUGCGUAGAUAUGCGGAGGAACACCGAUGGCGAAGGCAAUCCCCUGGGCCUGCACUGACGCUCAUGCACGAAAGCGUGGGGAGCAAACAGG
rnacentral:rRNA from 1 species